GUCUAUGUCCAUGCCACCCUGAACAAGCCCAAUGUCUGAUCUUGGAAGCUAAGCAGGGCCGGGCCUGGUUAGUACUUGGAUGGGAGACCUCCUAGGAAGACCAGAUGCUGUAAGCA
rnacentral:rRNA from 1 species